rnacentral:rRNA from 1 species
UACGUAGGGUGCAAGCGUUAAUCGGAAUUACUGGGCGUAAAGCGUGCGCAGGCGGUUUUGUAAGACAGAGGUGAAAUCCCCGGGCUCAACCUGGGAACUGCCUUUGUGACUGCAAAGCUGGAGUACGGCAGAGGGAGGUGGAAUUCCACGUGUAGCAGUGAAAUGCGUAGAGAUGUGGAGGAACACCGAUGGCGAAGGCAGCCUCCUGGGCUAGUACUGACGCUCAUGCACGAAAGCGUGGGGAGCAAACAGG